rnacentral:rRNA from 1 species
GACGAACGCUGGCGGUAUGCUUAACACAUGCAAGUCGAACGAGAAGUUUUUUAUUGAACCUUCGGGGGAUAUAAGAGACAGACAGUGGCGAACGGGUGAGUAACGCGUGGGCAACCUACCUAUCGGAGCGGGAUAGCCUCGAGAAAUCGGGAGUAAAACCGCAUAACACGGAUAUAUCGCAUGAUGAAUCCGUCAAAACUCCGGUGCCGAUAGAUGGGCCCGCGUCUGAUUAGCUAGUUGGUAAGGUAAGGGCUUACCAAGGCAACGAUCAGUAGCCGGUUUGAGAGGGCGAACGGCCACACUGGAACUGAGACACGGUCCAGACUCCUACGGGAGGCAGCAGUGGGGAAUAUUGCGCAGUGGGGGCAACCCUGACGCAGCAAUACCGCGUGAGGAAGAAGGUUUUCGGAUCGUAAAGCUCUGUU